AGCGAACGCUGGCGGCAGGCUUAACACAUGCAAGUCGAGCGGGCACUUCGGUGUCAGCGGCAGACGGGUGAGUAACACGUGGGAACGUACCCUUCGGUUCGGAAUAACGCUGGGAAACUAGCGCUAAUACCGGAUACGCCCUUUUGGGGAAAGGUUUACUGCCGAAGGAUCGGCCCGCGUCUGAUUAGCUAGUUGGUGGGGUAAUGGCCUACCAAGGCGACGAUCAGUAGCUGGUCUGAGAGGAUGAUCAGCCACACUGGGACUGAGACACGGCCCAGACUCCUACGGGAGGCAGCAGUGGGGAAUAUUGGACAAUGGGCGCAAGCCUGAUCCAGCCAUGCCGCGUGAGUGAUGAAGGCCGUAGGGUUGUAAAGCUCUUUUGUCCGGGACGAUAAUGACGGUACCGGAAGAAUAAGCCCCGGCUAACUUCGUG
rnacentral:rRNA from 1 species